rnacentral:tRNA from 1 species
UCUCUGAUGGUCCAGUGGUUAGGACUUGGUGCUGUCACUGCUGGGGCCUGGGUUCAAUUCCCGGUUGAAGAA